AUCAGCCUUUCGGGUGCGAUUCCUGUGGAGUGUGAGGAAGCUUAACACCUUCAUGCUUUGCACAUUUGUGCUCUUGGGUGUACUUGCCCGUGUGGUUGGUUAACAUCAACUUUGGUGGUCAUAAAAUGACUGGAGGAAUGUAGCUUCGAUCUCGUAUUGAAGUGUUAUAGCCUUCGGUAGAUGUGAUGAUCGAGAUUGAGGAUUGCAACGGAUACCCUUCGGGGCUACCUGUCUGGUCUCUGAUUGUUGCUCUGGUGCCGAAAGCUUGCUUACGGUUAUCAAAGUCGAUGGUCAAUAGGUUAGAACGGGUUAAAUUCGUUAAGGAUGUUGACGUAAUGGCUUU
rnacentral:rRNA from 1 species